GCCUGGUCUGAGUGCAGUAGUGUUUACACCUAAUUGAUCACAACCAGUUACAGAUUCCUUUGUUCCUUCUCCACUCCCACUGCUUCACUUGACUAGCCUUAA
rnacentral:Y_RNA from 1 species